AUAUUUAAACUAUUUCACAUAAAAUACCGAUCAAGAAGGUGGUUGUACUUGGCAUGUGCUGAUUCCUGAUAUUCCAAAAUGUGGGAAACUUGACUACAUAAUUUGUGGUAGUGUGGAACUGUGUUCACACUCUCCCCU
ensembl:snRNA U1 U1 spliceosomal RNA